AACUGCAGCAGGAGGCGCUCCCACGACUGUGCCUGGGUUGUUCCUGCGUGCUUUGUCUAGAUUUGAUGGUGUGCGACAGUGUGGCUGGCACUUUGUUUCAGACGGCUACUACAUCUACCUGCAUGGAAGCUCCUAUUACGAAUACUUGGUGUCUCAGCUGGUCAGCCCGGUGUGCAACUCAACGGGACCGCACUGCUUCCGCUUCUGGUACCACAUGUACGGCGUGGCUGAAGAAAUGGCCCUGCGGGUGUACGUGACUAGGGACAAAGAACUUCUGCAGGUUUGGGAAGCAACUGGGAACCACGGGGACAGAUGGCACUUGGGAGAGGUCACGGUGCACAGCACAGGAAACAUGCAGAUUAUCCUCGAGGGACAAUGGGGGGAAGAUUUCCGCAGUGACGUGGCACUGGAUGAUCUGUCCAUUGAAAAGGGAUACUGCCCAGGUACCUCAUCACCCGGCUUGGGAAAGGGCAGCUUGCUUGUCGUGGCAGUCAAUGUAGCUUCUGCCUUGAAGAGAAUCUGGUCAAGGGCGAUUGAUUGACAUAUUCCAUUGUGUCUCUCGUAGGCGAUGGGACUCCAACGCCUGGCACCAGCACACCAACACCUGGGACACCAACACCCUCGCCAGGCUCAGGUGAGUGGAGCAGACGAGUCACGGGGCUGCAGCGUUCGGUCAGGGUGGGCUGUGGAGAGGAGGCGGCAGGAGGUGCAUCACUGAACGUUUCCUCUGGUCCUUCCUCUGUCAGGGACCUGUGUGGUGGAAGGAGACCCUCACUACCUGUGACGUUCUCCCGCACAGAUUCUGUGGGAAUGAAUAGUCAGAGAUCAUGGGUGUUCUUUUCUUUUACGUUCCUUGUCCUUAAGUCUUGUGGCUAAGGUUUAAGAUCCUGGACCCUCUCAUUGCCACAGGAAAUCUGCUGGGUGUGCACAAUACUUCCUAGACUUGCAGUCCAGGGAGGCUUGCCUUCUCUGCCAGAGGAGUCCUGCCCAGAAUGUUCUUGUGUGCUUGACAGCCUUGCUUGUGCUUAGUGUGGAAGCAGCCUGUCCAGGGUGUAGUGUCAUCAGCAUUUGUUUGAGUAGACGAGUCAUGGUGCUGCAGUGUUCUGGUCAGGAUGGGCUGUGGAGAUGAGGUGGCAGGAUGUGCUUAACUGGGCAGUGCACUGGGUCUGACUUGAAUGAAGUACCUUCUUGUGCGAAGACCUUUUUUGAUAGUGAUACACAGUCAUUCUUGCUGUACGCACAGUUUUCCAUAAUGUUUGCAUAAUUGGGAAGGGUGGAAGAGCUGCCUGAAAGAAAUCUUCAUUCUGAAAAGCAGCUUCUGUAUCUCCAUCUUGUUCUACAUCCAACAGAUCCUACUGCCUUGCCAAAUGUUACUACACAGCCUCCAUGGACAACAAAACCUGGAGUAAGCACAGGUAUGCCUGUCCCCUGUUCAUCUUUUCUACAAGCUGUGGUCAGCACUGGGCUAGAGUUCUUAUCUUGUCAGGCCAUUCU
rnacentral:lncRNA from 1 species